rnacentral:rRNA from 1 species
AGGACGAACGCUGGCGGCGUGCUUAACACAUGCAAGUCGAGCGGUAAGGCCUUUCGGGGUACACGAGCGGCGAACGGGUGAGUAACACGUGGGUGAUCUGCCCUGCACUUCGGGAUAAGCCUGGGAAACUGGGUCUAAUACCGGAUAUGACCUCAGGUUGCAUGACUUGGGGUGGAAAGAUUUAUCGGUGCAGGAUGGGCCCGCGGCCUAUCAGCUUGUUGGUGGGGUAAUGGCCUACCAAGGCGACGACGGGUAGCCGACCUGAGAGGGUGACCGGGCCACACUGGGACUGAGACACGGCCCAGACUCCUACGGGAGGCAGCAGUGGGGAAUAUUGCA